rnacentral:tRNA from 1 species
GCGACGAUAGUUUAGGGGUAGAAUUCAAGCUUCCCAUGUCAUUGCAUAGUCUGCUUGAGGUCCGAGUUCGAGUCUCGGUCGUCGCA